UCCAGCCCUCUGCCUUCGCAACCCGCAGGAAAUGGCCCCAUUGUCCUUGGGAGAGGAAGUGGCCUGCAGCAGACCACUAGCUCACUGGAUCUAUGGAGACUGUGAUGACCAAAUGGAACACGGAGCGGACCAGCCGUUGUGACAGCUGAGCUACAAACUUACUGUGGGAAACUUCAGCGCCGACCACGACCUUGAACAGACUCAAAUGACAUAAACAUGACACACUCUGUACAGGACAGAAGCCGGCCGGUAAAGCAGCACUAGCAGCUAGAGAGCAUUUAAUUCGAUGGACACACAUUAAAGAAGAGAGAAAGAGUGCCCUACCUGCACAGGACAUCCUAUGCUAAGCUAACUGCUGCAGCAGCAGAUCUCUACCUUCUCAGCCAAUCACAGCCUGAUGCCCUAGGAGCCUCUGUUCUCUCCCUGAGCCACCAGGGGGCCUCAGUCCCACAUCGGGACACCCAACACCGAGUUUGUCUUCAUCCUGAACCCUCCGGCCCCAGUCAAGCUGUCCCACCC